GAACGCUGGCGGCAGGCUUAAUACAUGCAAGUCGAGCGGUCUCUUUCGGGAGACAGCGGCGGACGGGUUAGUAACGCGUGGGAACGUGCCCUUUAGUACGGAAUAGCCAUUGGAAACGAUGAUUAAUACCGUAUACGCCCUUCGGGGGAAAGAUUUAUCGCUAAAGGAUCGGCCCGCGUUAGAUUAGGUUGUUGGUGGGGUAAUGGCCUACCAAGCCUACGAUCUAUAGCUGGUUUGAGAGGAUGAUCAGCAACACUGGGACUGAGACACGGCCCAGACUUCUACGGAAGGCAGCAGUAGGGAAUCUUGGACAAUGGGCGAAAGCCUGAUCCAGCCAUGCCGCGUGAGUGAUGAAGGCCCUAGGGUUGUAAAACUCUUUCGCCAGGGAAGAUAAUGACGGUACCUGGUAAAGAAACCCCGG
rnacentral:rRNA from 1 species